GGUUAAGCGACUAAGCGUACACGGUGGAUGCCCUGGCAGUCAGAGGCGAUGAAGGACGUGCUAAUCUGCGAUAAGCGUCGGUAAGGUGAUAUGAACCGUUAUAACCGGCGAUUUCCGAAUGGGGAAACCCAGUGUGUUUCGACACACUAUCAUUAACUGAAUCCAUAGGUUAAUGAGGCGAACCGGGGGAACUGAAACAUCUAAGUACCCCGAGGAAAAGAAAUCAACCGAGAUUCCCCCAGUAGCGGCGAGCGAACGGGGAGCAGCCCAGAGCCUGAAUCAGUAUGUGUGUUAGUGGAAGCGUCUGGAAAGGCGCGCGAUACAGGGUGACAGCCCCGUACACAAAAAUGCACAUAUUGUGAGCUCGAUGAGUAGGGCGGGACACGUGGUAUCCUGUCUGAAUAUGGGGGGACCAUCCUCCAAGGCUAAAUACUCCUGACUGACCGAUAGUGAACCAGUACCGUGAGGGAAAGGCGAAAAGAACCCCGGCGAGGGGAGUGAAAAAGAACCUGAAACCGUGUACGUACAAGCAGUGGGAGCACGCUUAGGCGUGUGACUGCGUACCUUUUGUAUAAUGGGUCAGCGACUUAUAUUCUGUAGCAAGGUUAACCGAAUAGGGGAGCCGAAGGGAAACCGAGUCUUAACUGGGCGUUAAGUUGCAGGGUAUAGACCCGAAACCCGGUGAUCUAGCCAUGGGCAGGUUGAAGGUUGGGUAACACUAACUGGAGGACCGAACCGACUAAUGUUGAAAAAUUAGCGGAUGACUUGUGGCUGGGGGUGAAAGGCCAAUCAAACCGGGAGAUAGCUGGUUCUCCCCGAAAGCUAUUUAGGUAGCGCCUCGUGAAUUCAUCUCCGGGGGUAGAGCACUGUUUCGGCAAGGGGGUCAUCCCGACUUACCAACCCGAUGCAAACUGCGAAUACCGGAGAAUGUUAUCACGGGAGACACACGGCGGGUGCUAACGUCCGUCGUGAAGAGGGAAACAACCCAGACCGCCAGCUAAGGUCCCAAAGUCAUGGUUAAGUGGGAAACGAUGUGGGAAGGCCCAGACAGCCAGGAUGUUGGCUUAGAAGCAGCCAUCAUUUAAAGAAAGCGUAAUAGCUCACUGGUCGAGUCGGCCUGCGCGGAAGAUGUAACGGGGCUAAACCAUGCACCGAAGCUGCGGCAGCGACACUAUGUGUUGUUGGGUAGGGGAGCGUUCUGUAAGCCUGUGAAGGUGUGCUGUGAGGCAUGCUGGAGGUAUCAGAAGUGCGAAUGCUGACAUAAGUAACGAUAAAGCGGGUGAAAAGCCCGCUCGCCGGAAGACCAAGGGUUCCUGUCCAACGUUAAUCGGGGCAGGGUGAGUCGACCCCUAAGGCGAGGCCGAAAGGCGUAGUCGAUGGGAAACAGGUUAAUAUUCCUGUACUUGGUGUUACUGCGAAGGGGGGACGGAGAAGGCUAUGUUGGCCGGGCGACGGUUGUCCCGGUUUAAGCGUGUAGGCUGGUUUUCCAGGCAAAUCCGGAAAAUCAAGGCUGAGGCGUGAUGACGAGGCACUACGGUGCUGAAGCAACAAAUGCCCUGCUUCCAGGAAAAGCCUCUAAGCAUCAGGUAACAUCAAAUCGUACCCCAAACCGACACAGGUGGUCAGGUAGAGAAUACCAAGGCGCUUGAGAGAACUCGGGUGAAGGAACUAGGCAAAAUGGUGCCGUAACUUCGGGAGAAGGCACGCUGAUAUGUAGGUGAAGCGACUUGCUCGUGGAGCUGAAAUCAGUCGAAGAUACCAGCUGGCUGCAACUGUUUAUUAAAAACACAGCACUGUGCAAACACGAAAGUGGACGUAUACGGUGUGACGCCUGCCCGGUGCCGGAAGGUUAAUUGAUGGGGUCAGCGCAAGCGAAGCUCUUGAUCGAAGCCCCGGUAAACGGCGGCCGUAACUAUAACGGUCCUAAGGUAGCGAAAUUCCUUGUCGGGUAAGUUCCGACCUGCACGAAUGGCGUAAUGAUGGCCAGGCUGUCUCCACCCGAGACUCAGUGAAAUUGAACUCGCUGUGAAGAUGCAGUGUACCCGCGGCAAGACGGAAAGACCCCGUGAACCUUUACUAUAGCUUGACACUGAACAUUGAGCCUUGAUGUGUAGGAUAGGUGGGAGGCUUUGAAGUGUGGACGCCAGUCUGCAUGGAGCCGACCUUGAAAUACCACCCUUUAAUGUUUGAUGUUCUAACGUGGACCCGUGAUCCGGGUUGCGGACAGUGUCUGGUGGGUAGUUUGACUGGGGCGGUCUCCUCCUAAAGAGUAACGGAGGAGCACGAAGGUUGGCUAAUCCUGGUCGGACAUCAGGAGGUUAGUGCAAUGGCAUAAGCCAGCUUGACUGCGAGCGUGACGGCGCGAGCAGGUGCGAAAGCAGGUCAUAGUGAUCCGGUGGUUCUGAAUGGAAGGGCCAUCGCUCAACGGAUAAAAGGUACUCCGGGGAUAACAGGCUGAUACCGCCCAAGAGUUCAUAUCGACGGCGGUGUUUGGCACCUCGAUGUCGGCUCAUCACAUCCUGGGGCUGAAGUAGGUCCCAAGGGUAUGGCUGUUCGCCAUUUAAAGUGGUACGCGAGCUGGGUUUAGAACGUCGUGAGACAGUUCGGUCCCUAUCUGCCGUGGGCGCUGGAGAACUGAGGGGGGCUGCUCCUAGUACGAGAGGACCGGAGUGGACGCAUCACUGGUGUUCGGGUUGUCAUGCCAAUGGCACUGCCCGGUAGCUAAAUGCGGAAGAGAUAAGUGCUGAAAGCAUCUAAGCACGAAACUUGCCCCGAGAUGAGUUCUCCCUGACCCUUUAAGGGUCCUGAAGGAACGUUGAAGACGACGACGUUGAUAGGCCGGGUGUGUAAGCGCAGCGAUGCGUUGAGCUAACCGGUACUAAUGAACCGUGAGGCUUAACCUU
rnacentral:rRNA from 1 species